UUAUGGCCAUAUCACAUUGAAACAGCAGUCCCCAUAUGAUCACCGAAGUUAAGGAAUGUCAAACCUGGUCAGUACCUAGAUGGGUGACCACUUGGGAAUGCU
rnacentral:rRNA from 1 species